AUUGAACGCUGGCGGCAGGCUUAACACAUGCAAGUAGAGCGAGCGGCGGACGGGUGAGUAAUGUCUGGGAAACUGCCUGAUGGAAGGGGAUAACUACUGGAAACGGUAGCUAAUACCGCAUACCCUCAGGUGUGCCCAGAGGGGAUUAGCUAGUAGGUGGGGUAAUGUCUCACCUAGGCGACGAUCCCUAUCUGGUCUGAGAGGAUGACCAGCCCUACUGGAACGGAGACACGGUCUAGACUCUAACGGUGGUCGCCAGUGGUGAAUAAUGCACAAGGGGCGCCAGCCUGAUGCAGCCAUGCCGGGUGUGUGAAGAAGGCCUUCGCGUUGUACAGCACUCUCAGCGAGGCGGCGUUACUCGCAGGAGAAGCACCGGCUAACUUCGUGCCAGCAGCCGCGGUAAUAC
rnacentral:rRNA from 1 species